CACAAGUGGAAAGUUUCUGAACGCUCCAAGUUCACGAGUUGUGACGUGUUUGUUGACGUUGUCAGAAAUGGCGGAGGCCUUGGCAGUUCAUUUUUUGGUACAUAAUAAGUUAAAGGACCUAUUAUGAUAAUUUUCAGGUGCAUACUUGCAUUUUGGGUUUCUAUCAGAACAUCUUAACAUGCUUCAAUGUAAAAAAAAAACGCUUUACUUUUCUCAUACCGGCUGUGCUGCAGCACCUCUUUUCAUCCUCUGUCUAAACAAACAGGCUUAUUUUUGCAACUAGAGGAGUCGCCCCCUGCUGGCUAUUUCAAAGAAUGCAAUUUUAAGGCACUUCCUCAUUGGCAUCACUUCUCUGACCCUGGAGUUGCCCACUGGUAACUACACACAACCACGCCAACAAACAGCAAGGAUUGGUGUGACAUGGUCGCAGCGUUGUGUAUGAACUGAAGUCUUUGGAUG